UACGGAGGGUGCGAGCGUUGUCCGGAAUCACUGGGCGUAAAGGGCGCGUAGGCGGCCUGAUAAGUGGGGGGUGAAAUCCUGCGGCUUAACCGCAGGGCUGCCUUCUAAACUGUCAGGCUAGAGCACAGUAGAGGCAGGUGGAAUUCCCGGUGUAGCGGUGGAAUGCGUAGAGAUCGGGAAGAACAUCAGUGGCGAAGGCGGCCUGCUGGGCUGUUGCUGACGCUGAGGCGCGACAGCGUGGGGAGCAAACAGG
rnacentral:rRNA from 1 species